AAUCCAUAGGUUAAUGAGGCGAACCGGGGGAACUGAAACAUCUAAGUACCCCGAGGAAAAGAAAUCAACCGAGAUUCCCCCAGUAGCGGCGAGCGAACGGGGAGGAGCCCAGAGCCUGAAUCAGCAUGUGUGUUAGUGGAAGCGUCUGGAAAGGCGCGCGAUACAGGGUGACAGCCCCGUACACAAAAGCGCAUGUGCUGUGAGCUCGAUGAGUAGGGCGGGACACGUGGUAUCCUGUCUGAAUAUGGGGGGACCAUCCUCCAAGGCUAAAUACUCCUGACUGACCGAUAGUGAACCAGUACCGUGAGGGAAAGGCGAAAAGAACCCCGGCGAGGGGAGUGAAAAAGAACCUGAAACCGUGUACGUACAAGCAGUGGGAGCCCCACCACCAAAGCAUUCUCUGGUGUUGAAGGCCCUGCAAAGCAGCAU
rnacentral:rRNA from 1 species